rnacentral:rRNA from 1 species
UAAUACGGGAGGCAGCAGUGGGGAAUAUUGCACAAUGGGCGCAAGCCUGAUGCAGCCAUGCCGCGUGUAUGAAGAAGGCCUUCGGGUUGUAAAGUACUUUCAGCAGUGAGGAAGGGGUGUCCGUUAAUAGCGUGCAUCUUUGACGUUAGCUGCAGAAGAAGCACCGGCUAACUCCGUGCCAGCAGCCGCGGUAAUACGGAGGGUGCGAGCGUUAAUCGGAAUUACUGGGCGUAAAGCGCAUGCAGGUGGUUUGUUAAGUCAGAUGUGAAAGCCCGGGGCUCAACCUCGGAAUAGCAUUUGAAACUGGCAGACUAGAGUACUGUAGAGGGGGGUAGAAUUUCAGGUGUAGCGGUGAAAUGCGUAGAGAUCUGAAGGAAUACCGGUGGCGAAGGCGGCCCCCUGGACAGAUACUGACACUCAGAUGCGAAAGCGUGGGGAGCAAACAGGAUUAGAUACCCUGGUAGUCCACGCCGUAAACGAUGUCUACUUGGAGGUUGUGGCCUUGAGCCGUGGCUUUCGGAGCUAACCCGUUAA